UACGUAGGGUGCGAGCGUUGUCCGGAAUUAUUGGGCGUAAAGGGCUCGUAGGCGGUUUGUCGCGUCGGGAGUGAAAACCUUGGGCUUAACUCAGGGCUUGCUUUCGAUACGGGCAGACUAGAGGUAUGCAGGGGAGAACGGAAUUCCCGGUGUAGCGGUGAAAUGCGCAGAUAUCGGGAGGAACACCGGUGGCGAAGGCGGUUCUCUGGGCCUGUACUGACGCUGAGGAGCGAAAGCGUGGGGAGCGAACAGG
rnacentral:rRNA from 1 species